rnacentral:rRNA from 1 species
GAUGAACGCUGGCGGCGUGCCUAAUACAUGCAAGUCGAGCGAACGGACGAGAAGCUUGCUUCUCUGGUGUUAGCGGCGGACGGGUGAGUAACACGUGGAUAACCUACCUAUAAGACUGGGAUAACUUCGGGAAACCGGAGCUAAUACCGGAUAAUAUUUUGAACCGCAUGGUUCAAAAGUGAAAGACGGUCUUGCUGUCACUUAUAGAUGGAUCCGCGCUGCAUUAGCUAGUUGGUAAGGUAACGGCUUACCAAGGCAACGAUGCAUAGCCGACCUGAGAGGGUGAUCGGCCACACUGGAACUGAGACACGGUCCAGACUCCUACGGGAGGCAGCAGUAGGGAAUCUGACGCAAUAGGCGAAAGCCUGACGGAGCAACGCCGCGUGAGUGAUGAAGGUCUUCGGAUCGUAAAACUCUGUUAUUAGGGAAGAACAUAUGUGUAAGUAACUGUGCACAUAUUGACGGUACCUAAUCAGAAAGCCACGGCUAACUACGUG